UACAGAGGUCCCAAGCGUUGUCCGGAUUUACUGGGCGUAAAGAGCGCGCAGGCGGCUGGUCAAGUCCGAUGUGAAAGCUCCCGGCUUAACUGGGAAAUUGCAUCGGAAACUGAUCGGCUGGAAGGUGGGAGAGGGUAGCGGAAUUCCCGGUGUAGUGGUGAAAUGCGUAGAGAUCGGGAGGAACACCAAUGGCGAAAGCAAUCCCCUGGGCCUGCACUGACGCUCAUGCACGAAAGCGUGGGGAGCAAACAGG
rnacentral:rRNA from 1 species